UAAUCAUUUGUCCUUUAAAUGGGGACCCGUAUGAAUGGCACGACGAGGGCUUAACUGUCUCCCCCUUCCGGUCAAUGAAAUUGAUCUUCCUGUGAAAAAGCAGGAAUAUAGACAUAAGACGAGAAGACCCUAUGGAACUUUAGACACUAGAGCAGACCAUAUCAAUAAGCCCCACCUUGCACCGGGGAAAAAACCAAGUGGCACCCCUGCUCAAAUGUCUUUGGUUGGGGCGACCACGGGGGAAGGAAAGCCCCCGCGCGGAAUAGGCACAACCCUGCCUUCAACGAAGAGUUUCCGCUCUAGUUAACAGGAUUUCUUGACCAGACGGAUCCGGCAACGCCGACCUACGGACCGAGCUACCCUAGGGAUAACAGCGCAAUCUCCCCCAAGAGGCCUUAUCGACGGGGAGGCUUACGACCUCGAUGUUGGAUCAGGACAUCCUAUUGGUGCAGCCGCUAUUAAGGGUUCGUUUGUUCAACGAUUAAUAGUCCUACGUGAUCUGAGUUCAGAC
rnacentral:rRNA from 1 species